UUGCUUUUGGGAUGAACAAGUCCAUUAUAUACAAUUAUUCAUCCUAUACUUAAUCUGCACUUCUUUUGAUGUUUCACUGAUUAUGCAGUGAUGGAACAAUU